CGAAUUAAGGAAGACAAUACAGAACAGACAAAUACUUGUGUGAACUCGGCUCUAUUUAUUUAUAUUUACAUUAUUUGAAUAUAGUUUCUCUGUUCUUUUUCUUUGUUUUGUGGAACUUUA
rnacentral:ribozyme from 1 species